AUAUCAGCAUCCACAUCCACCACGAGGCAAUGAAAGGAUGAGUCGUUAAAGAAUUUUGAGUCAUAUCAUACAAUGGAUUCAUCUACAGAACUGAACGUUUCUUCCAUCUGUGGAUUAAUCUUUCAACUAUUCGUCAUCUCUUCGCGACUGGUUGGUCAGAUCUUUACAGUUACCUUUUGAAAACAAGUCUACUUCUGUAUGCCAUUUGCUCAAGGACGCAAUAGCCGUUUUUCACAGGUCAAGAUCCUGUAACUUGCAUGUGGACCCUCAGAUGUAUCAUGCAAUGCGACAUGCCAACCCAUGGCCUUUGCUGUCUCUUGAAGUUCAUCCAUGACAUUAACGGAGUCACGAAUGUAUGCUCGACCACCAGGUCUGAGUAUGCGAUCCAUCUCAAGCAUGAUGGUAGAGAUAUUACAUCUUUUCCUUUCAAUAGAAAAGAGACCAGCUGCAUGCAAGAAAUCAUAGGUUCUUGGGUACGUAUCAAAUGGUUCACACCAAUCAUGCAUAACUCCUAGAAGUCCACGAUCAUAUAUAACAGGCAAGGUAUUGGGCCCGCUAACAGGUACCACAUUCAGAACCCAACAAUCAAAUCCUUGGUCAAUCAAUGCAGCUGCAAAUCCUCCAAAGACAGCUCUCAUAUCCAAUACAUUUCUUAAUUUAAAUUUCUUCCAAUGCCAAGCACGGAUAUAGCCAGCUAUUGUUUCAGCCCAGUAUUUUGAUUCUGCCUUGAAUAGCUCUUUUCUGGACAUGUAGGCAUCCAUUUGUAUGCUCUGGAGCCUAUCAGGUGGGGUGUGUAAACGGGCAGGCCAUUUGGUAACGUUUGCUCCGUAUCCAUCUUCUGGAAUUUGAGUAAUGCAUGCCUUCAGAUCAACAUACCAAACAUUAUCAGGGUCAUCAUUUGGAUCACACAAUGGAGGUUUUAUUCCUGCUUCACGGCUUAGGUAGCAGCUGUUGUUGAAGGGUUUCUGCCAUAUUGCAAUAUAUCCCUCCUUCUUAACAAGUGUCCAGCAGAGACGAGUAGUAAGUUUAAGCAUCUCUUCCCAUUGUUCUUCUAGAAUUUGCUCAUGCUUAUAAACUGGCUGUGCUGCCCAGGCAAAGUAUCCUCCUGCUCGGAGCAUCCUAUUGACCUCAAGGAGCAAUAUUCCGUCAUCACGAGUCCAAUUGAUUCUACAUCUUGAACAAUGUAUUAUUUCAAAGGCUUGACUUGGAUAUAACAGAAUGUGUUAACUAUAUCAAUAGCUCCCAAGGAUGCUCAAGAGCAAACUGAAUUUGGUUCUCAUGAACAUCCUUGGGAGCUAUUGAUAUAGUUAAC
rnacentral:misc_RNA from 1 species